CCUACGGGAGGCAGCAGUGAGGAAUUUUCCGCAAUGGGCGAAAGCCUGACGGAGCAAUACCGCGUGAGGGAUGAAGGAUUUUGGUCUGUAAACCUCUUUUCUCAAGAAAGAAGUUCUGACGGUACUUGAGGAAUAAGCAUCGGCUAACUCCGUGCCAGCAGCCGCGGUAAUACGGGGGAUGCAAGCGUUAUCCGGAAUGAUUGGGCGUAAAGCGCCUGUAGGUUGUUUAUUAAGUCCGUUGUUAAAGCCUAGGGCUUAACCCUAGAAAAGCAAUGGAAACCUAGUAGACUAGAGUAUGGCAGGGGUAGAGGGAAUUUCUAGUGUAGCGGUGAAAUGCGUAGAUAUUAGAAAGAACACCGGUGGCGAAAGCGCUCUAACUGGACCAUUACUGACACUCAGAGGCCGAAAGCUAGGGUAGCAAAAGGGGAUUAGAUACCCCUGUAGUCCUAGCCGUAAACGAUGGAUACCUAGAUGUUGUGUNAUAUAUACUAGUAUACGUAGUACUACGUACGUACGUUACGUACCGUCCGUCGGGUAGGUACGUACGUCGUCGACGGUAGGUAACGUACUAACUAAGUAAGUUAGUACGGACGUCGAGACGUACGCCGACGACGACCGACCGACGGGAGGUAGGAG
rnacentral:rRNA from 1 species